UGAUUGUCUUGCUGCGGCAAAGGCGGUGGGCGGAGAGUGCCUCUGUGCGCCGGGUAAACAGGUGGCCUCUGCCUCGCUCAGUCCUUCACGCUUCUUCAGCAGUGUGAGCCUAGGAGCGGCUUCCAGGAGCAUGGGCCUAGAAGGCCACUGGGCGGAGGAGAGCAACAGAAGGCCUUGGAAGGCAGGGCUUCCUUGCUUCCCAGUUUGGGGAGUGGGACUCUGCCCCACCCCAGCUCCGCUCCUUGUGAGCUGUGACCUUGGCAAGUUGCUUCGCCUUUCUCAGCUCCAUUUCCUUUAUGCUAAAAUGGGAAUACCUAACUGUCCACUUGACAGGCUUGUUGUGAGGAUGACAUGGGUGCCAAGGCCCUUUGCGAAGGCAACAGGAGGGCAAGGCUCGGAGAGGUGCAGUACUGAGGCAGAGAGAAAGUGCUGGCGGACGAGAGAUGGAUGCUGAUGUGGAUGGGAAGAGGAAGACCUCAUGAAGGAGAAAAAGUCUGAAGGAAAUAAUUCUCAUGAAAAAACUCCCAAGUCCCUUCUCGCCGACCUUGUCUUCAAAUCACAGGGUGCCAAAGAUUGGGGUCCCUCUUGAUCCCCAGGAGCAGCUCAACCCUGGUGGGAAAGCCUGAGUCGUCAUGGUGACUAUUCCUGCGGUGUAGAAUAAAAUUAAUGGAUGUGCUCAUUACAGCAAUUCUGGCUGUCCUUUUAGCAAAUUUCACUCUUCAGAAGGAUCACUGGCUUUUACUCACAAUGCCUGAGAAUCAUCAUUUAAGAUUGUGGAUAGAGACAGCUUUCCCGACACACAUCAUCUCUUCAGGCCAAUGGGUUUGCCCCUUGGAGGAUUGAUCUAUGUGACAUUUGCUGACCAGGAGCUCAUAUUUGACUUUCUCUCAUCAAACACCCUCCCAGCUUGGGACCCUUUCCUCUUCCCAAAUGGUCCUGAUAAGAGGUCUUCUAGACCGCAGCCCCAUGAGCUGCAGCAGGGAGUAGGUUCUAUUACUGCAACCUGGGUUAGGCUAAUGAUCUCAUUAAGUGCUUCUGAGGAUUUCCCCCAAGCUAAGCCCUGUAAGUUGGUAUCUGUGACAUUCUUGGAAUUUCAGCUCUUCCAGAAGCAGAG